rnacentral:misc_RNA from 1 species
GUUACAAGCCUGUUUCCGUUAUCCGCAAAUGCGGCCGCAACCAUGAUUUAAAACCACCUCUUCCUUGAAUCAUGCAUGUGGCAGGAUAUAAAUAUGAUAGAAACCUGCUAAGUGGAUCACUAUGCCACUUGUUGAAUGAAUUUGAGCAGUCAGAACGACAUAUACUCUUUAUUCAACCAUUAUGAGCUACAAAAAGGUGCCUCAAUUGUCAACUGCUCA